AGACUUUAGUUUAGGGGGUCUCCCUCUGCCUCGAGGCUUAGAUGAUGGCUGUUGCUCAUCUUGAUGCUGAGGAUCUUUGUUCAAAGGUGCUUUUGGUUUAGGAGAUCUUUCCAUGCUAGAAAGGUCAAGCUGCUGCUCUGGAUCUUUGUGCCAUUCAAGAAAAGCAGGUGAUUCAACAGAAUGUAACUUGGCUUCCAUUUGUUGAUUAGAGAGAAUCAUAUCAGUAUCAGACUUUAGUUUUCGGGGUCUCCCUCUGCCUCGAGGCUUAGAUGAUGGCUGUUGCUCAUCUUGAUGCUGAGGAUCUUUGUUCACAGGUGCUUUUGGUUUAGGAGAUCUUUCCAUGCUAGAAAGGUCAAGCUGCUGCUCUGGAUCUUUGUGCCAUUCAAGAAAAGCAGGUGAUUCAACAUAAUGUAACUUGGCUUCCAUUUGUUGAUUAGAGAUAAUCAUAUCAGUAUCAGACUUUAGUUUACGGGGUCUCCCUCUGCCUCGAGGCUUAGAUGAUGGCUGUUGCUCAGGAUCUUUGUUCACAGGUGCUUUUGGUUUAGGAGAUCUUUCCAUGCUAGAAAGGUCAAGCUGCUGCUCUGGAUCUUUGUGCCAUUCAAGAAAAGCAGGUGAUUCAACAGAAUGUAAUUUGGCUUUCAUUUGUUGAUUAGAGAGAAUCAUAUCAGUACUAGACUUUAGUUUACGGGGUCUUCCUCUGCCUCGAGGCUUAGAUGAUGGCUGUUGCUCAUCUUGAUGCUGAGGAUCUUUGUUCACAGGUGCUUUUGGUUUAGGAGAUCUUUCCAUGCUAGAAAGGUCAAGCUGCUGCUCUGAAUCUUUGUGCCAUUCAAGAAAAGAAGGUGAUUCAACAGAAUGUAAUUUGGCUUCCAUUUGUUGAUUAGAGAGAAUCUGUGGGUGAGGAUGCUGCUCUGACAAUAGAUCACAAAUAAGUUCCUUCUGUUCACAAGGGCUUGUAAU
rnacentral:lncRNA from 1 species